rnacentral:rRNA from 1 species
UACGUAGGGUGCAAGCGUUAAUCGGAAUUACUGGGCGUAAAGCGUGCGCAGGCGGUGAUGUAAGUCAGAUGUGAAAUCCCCGGGCUCAACCUGGGAACUGCAUUUGGGACUGCAUCGCUUGAGUGCGGCAGAGGGGGGUGGAAUUCCGCGUGUAGCGGUGAAAUGCGUAGAUAUGCGGAGGAAACCCGAUGCGAAGGCAAUCCCCUGGGCCUGCACUGACGCUCAUGCACGAAAGCGUGGGGAGCAAACAGG